rnacentral:rRNA from 1 species
AAAUAGAUACCCCGGGUAGUCCACGCCGUAAACGAUGAGUGCUAAGUGUUAGAGGGUUUCCGCCCUUUAGUGCUGCAGCUAACGCAUUAAGCACUCCGCCUGGGGAGUACGGCCGCAAGGCUGAAACUCAAAGGAAUUGACGGGGGCCCGCACAAGCGGUGGAGCAUGUGGUUUAAUUCGAAGCAACGCGAAGAACCUUACCAGGUCUUGACAUCCUCUGCCAACCCUAGAGAUAGGGCGUUCCCCUUCGGGGGACAGAGUGACAGGUGGUGCAUGGUUGUCGUCAGCUCGUGUCGUGAGAUGUUGGGUUAAGUCCCGCAACGAGCGCAACCCUUGAUCUUAGUUGCCAGCAUUCAGUUGGGCACUCUAAGGUGACUGCCGGUGACAAACCGGAGGAAGGUGGGGAUGACGUCAAAUCAUCAUGCCCCUUAUGACCUGGGCUACACACGUGCUACAAUGGAUGGUACAAAGAGCUGCGAACCCGCGAGGGUAAGCCAAUCUCAUAAAGCCAUUCUCAGUUCGGA